rnacentral:rRNA from 1 species
AUACGGAGGAUGCAAGCGUUAUCCGGAUUUAUUGGGUUUAAAGGGUGCGUAGGCGGUUUGCUAAGCGGGAGGUGAAAUGCCGGCGCUCAACGUCGGAAGUGCCUCCCGGACUGGUGGACUUGAAUGACUCUGCCGUGGGAGGAAUGUGUAGUGUAGCGGUGAAAUGCUUAGAGAUUACACAGAACACCGAUUGCGAAGGCAUCUCACGAAGGGUUGAUUGACGCUGUGGCACGAAAGCGUGGGGAUCAAACAGGAUUAGAUACCCUGGUAGUCCACGCAGUAAACGAUGAUGGCUAACCGCUGGGCUUAUCAGUUCAGUGGCCAAGCGAAAGCGAUAAGCCAUCCACCUGGGGAGUACGACCGCAAGGUUGAAACUCAAAUGAAUUGACGGGG